CCUACGGGAGGCAGCAGUGGGGAAUAUUGCACAAUGGGGGAAACCCUGAUGCAGCGACGCCGCGUGAAUGAAGCAGUAUUUCGUUAUGUAAAGCUCUAUCAGCAGGGAAGAAAAUGACGGUACCUGACUAAGAAGCACCGGCUAACUACGUGCCAGCAGCCGCGGUAAUACGUAGGGGGCAAGCGUUAUCCGGAUUUACUGGGUGUAAAGGGAGCGUAGACGGCAGUGCAAGUCUGGAGUGAAAGGCGGGGGCUCAACCCCCGGACUGCUCUGGAAACUGUACGGCUGGAGUGCGGGAGAGGUAAGUGGAAUUCCUGGUGUAGCGGUGAAAUGCGUAGAUAUUAGGAGGAACACCAGUGGCGAAGGCGGCUUGCUGGACAGUAACUGACGUUGAGGCUCGAAAGCGUGGGGAGCAAACAGGAUUAGAUACCCCUGUAGUC
rnacentral:rRNA from 1 species